rnacentral:lncRNA from 1 species
CGCGAGCGAGGUGAGAUGCCGGUGGCCGUGGGUCCCUACGGACAGUCCCAGCCAAGCUGCUUCGACCGUGUCAAAAUGGGCUUCGUGAUGGGUUGCGCCGUGGGCAUGGCGGCCGGGGCGCUCUUCGGCACCUUUUCCUGUCUCAGCUCCAUCUUGGUUUCCUCCUCAGGAUCGGAAUGCGGGGUCGAGAGCUGAUGGGCGGCAUUGGGAAAACCAUGAUGCAGAGUGGCGGCACCUUUGGCACAUUCAUGGCCAUUGGGAUGGGCAUCCGAUGCUAACCAUGGUUGCCAACUACAUCUGUCCCUUCCCAUCAAUCCCAGCCCAUGUACUAAUAAAAGAAAGUCUUUGAG